rnacentral:rRNA from 1 species
GGUGAACGCUGGCGGCGUGCCUAAUACAUGCAAGUCGAGCGAACAGACGAGGAGCUUGCUCCUCUGAUGUUAGCGGCGGACGGGUGGGUAACACGUGGAUAACCUACCUAUAAGACUGGGAUAACUUCGGGAAACCGGAGCUAAUACCGGAUAACAUGUUGAACCGCAUGGUUCAACAGUGAAAGACGGUCUUGCUGUCACUUAUAGAUGGAUCCGCGCCGCAUUAGCUAGUUGGUAAGGUAACGGCUUACCAAGGCAACGAUGCGUAGCCGACCUGAGAGGGUGAUCGGCCACACUGGAACUGAGACACGGUCCAGACUCCUACGGGAGGCAGCAGUAGGGAAUCUUCCGCAAUGGGCGAAAGCCUGACGGAGCAACGCCGCGUGAGUGAAGAAGGUCUUCGGAUCGUAAAACUCUGUUAUUAGGGAAGAACAAAUGUGUAAGUAACUAUGCACGUCUUGACGGUACCUAAUCAGAAAGCCACGGCUAACUACGUG